rnacentral:rRNA from 1 species
GACGAACGCUGGCGGCGUGCCUAAUACAUGCAAGUCGAACGCAGUGGGGACGGGUGAGUAACACGUGGGUAACCUCCCAUCAGAGGGGAUAACACUUGGAAACAGGUGCUAAACCGAUACUGAUGGAUGGACCCGCGGUGCAUUAGCUAGUUGGUGGGGUAACGGCUCACCAAGGCCACGAGGCAUAGCGUGUUUGAGAGGGUGAUCGGCCACACUGGGACUGAGACACGGCCCAGACUCCUACGGGAGGCAGCAGUAGGGAAUUUUCGGCAAUGGACGAAAGCCUGACCCAGCCACGCCGCGUGAGUGAAGAAGGUUUUCGGGUUGUAAAACUCUGUUGUUAGAGAAGCGGUAUCUGCCCAAUAAGCCCCGGCUAACUACGUGCCAGCAGCCGCGGUAAUUC